AACGAACGCUGGCGGCAUGCCUAACACAUGCAAGUCGAACGAUGCUUUCGGGCAUAGUGGCGCACGGGUGCGUAACGCGUGGGAAUCUGCCUUGGGGUACGGAAUAACUCAGAGAAAUUUGAGCUAAUACCGUAUGAUGUCUUCGGACCAAAGAUUUAUCGCCCUGAGAUGAGCCCGCGUAGGAUUAGCUAGUUGGUGGGGUAAAGGCCUACCAAGGCGACGAUCCUUAGCUGGUCUGAGAGGAUGAUCAGCCACACUGGGACUGAGACACGGCCCAGACUCCUACGGGAGGCAGCAGUGGGGAAUAUUGGACAAUGGGCGCAAGCCUGAUCCAGCAAUGCCGCGUGAGUGAUGAAGGCCUUAGGGUUGUAAAGCUCUUUUACCCGGGAAGAUAAUGACUGUACCGGGAGAAUAAGCCCCGGCUAACUCCGUGCCAGCCGCCGCCGUAA
rnacentral:rRNA from 1 species